rnacentral:rRNA from 1 species
CCUACGGGUGGCAGCAGUGGGGAAUAUUGGUCAAUGGGCGUAACCCUGAUCCAGCGACGUCGCGUGAGUGAAGAAGUAUCUCGGUAUUUAAAGCUCUGUCAGUAGGGAAGAAAGAAAUGACGGUACCUGACCAAGAAGCCGCGGCUAACUACGUGCCAGCAGCCGCGGCAAUACGUAGGGGGCAAGCGUUAUCCGGAAUUACUGGGUGUAAAGGGAGCGUAGACGGUGAUGCAAGUCUGGAGUGAAAUGCCGGGGCCCAACCCCGGAACUGCUCUGGAAACUGUGAAGCUGGAGUGCAGGAGAGGUAAGCGGAAUGCCUGGUGUAGCGGUGAAAUGCGUAGAUAUCAGGAGGAACACCGGCGGCGAAGGCGGCUUACUGGACUGUAACUGACGUUGAGGCUCGAAGGCGUGGGGAGCAAACAGGAUUAGAUACCCCAGUAGUC